rnacentral:rRNA from 1 species
AGGACGAACGCUGGCGGCGUGCUUAACACAUGCAAGUCGAGCGGUAAGGCCCUUUCGGGGGUACACGAGCGGCGAACGGGUGAGUAACACGUGGGUGACCUGCCCUUAGCUCUGGGAUAAGUCUGGGAAACUGGGUCUAAUACCGGAUAUGACCUCGCGAUGCAUGUCGUGGGGUGGAAAGCCUUGUGCGGCUAGGGAUGGGCCCGCGGCCUAUCAGCUUGUUGGUGGGGUGAUGGCCUACCAAGGCGACGACGGGUAGCCGGCCUGAGAGGGCGACCGGCCACACUGGGACUGAGACACGGCCCAGACUCCUACGGGAGGCAGCAGUGGGGAAUCUUGCGCAAUGGGCGAAAGCCUGACGCAGCGACGCCGCGUGAGGGAUGACGGCCUUCGGGUUGUAAACCUCUUCAGCCCUGACGAGCGAAAGUGACGGUAGGGCAGAAGAAGCACCGGCCAACUACGCGCCAGCAGCCGCGGUAA